UACGGAGGGUGCAAGCGUUGCUCGGAAUUAUUGGGCGUAAAGGGUAGGUAGGUGGUCUCAUUUGUCUGGGGUGAAAGCCUUGAGCUUAACUCAAGAAGUGCCCCAGAAACGGUGAGACUAGAGUCCUGGAGAGGGUCGUGGAAUUCCAGGUGUAGCGGUGAAAUGCGUAGAUAUCUGGAGGAACACCGGUGGCGAAGGCGGCAUCCUGGACCACGACUGACGCUGAUGAGCGAAAGCCAGGGGAGCAAACGGG
rnacentral:rRNA from 1 species